rnacentral:rRNA from 1 species
CCAAAUUCUAUCGCCUAUCUUGCCGCAUUUGUGUCCAUGUGUGAGGGUUUCUUGGGCUGUCGACCGCACUGGGGUUUGUUCAAGCAUAUAUUCACGUGUCGCUCUCAGACCGUGAAGAAGGCGAGCCCAGGCGAUGAAAGAACCCGAGUCGUCCAAAUGUGUGGGGGUCUAGGGAUCCAGGUGAGGAAUAAGAGCACCUUCCCGCCCAUGACCUUUCCCGAGUCAGUCAGAGGCUGGCAAUCGACCUGGUUCUACUGCCAGGACCAGUCGACGCCGGGGCAGUCGAGUGGACUCCCUCAGUUUACCAUGGACCGAGUGAACAAG